AGGGUCACUUGAAAUUACGCUUUCGACUUUUAAAUGACUAUCCUAAAAUUUUGAUAUAAAAACAAUAUACAUUUAGGAAAGAUCUCAGAUUGCAGAAUCUUCUGGAGCCUCUAAAACGUAGAAAAACCUUGAACUUUCAAAGUUACUGUUAAAAUUAAAAUAUAAGAUCCGGAAAAAUAAUGUUAAAUUUGAUAAGUAAAUUUUAAUUUAUAAGCUGAAGGGCACGGGCAGUCGUAGUACAUUUGAAUUUUCGAGCCGGUUCGAACUUUCCGGUCCCAGUGUGAACUGUAUCGCCCGGACAUUGGGUAAAUAAAGCCGGUGCAACAAGGUUGACGCGGUCAGACUUUAGGUUGAAUUUACUUUUACUAAAGGGUCAGGAUUGCGUGAGGGUUUGUUCUGAGAUUUUGGAUGGUUCAAUCUGCGGAACAAUUCAGAUAAGAUUUCAAGGGUGUACCAGGGGAGGAAGACUUAAGCCGUAAAAAUUCCGGAAGAAAUUUUUAGUUGAAGCAUUUUUUUAAAUGUCUUAAAAUGAAAACUCGGGCCAUUGCCUAUCCAUACUCAGAUCGAGCGCCUAAGGCCUAAGAAUUAACAUUUUAAAAACUGAAUAUGUGUAUUUAUUCAUUUUAGACGAGAUCCUUUUAAACAUAUAAUAUAUAAUUAAAAUUUUUUUUUAACGCAACAUCACUUAGCAACUGCAGUCUAUAAUGCGUAUUGAAUGCGUACAAAGUUCGGUGCUUGCGUCGCAGUAAGCGUAUAUAUGAUUUAUUAAAUAACAAUGUAUUUAAUAUUUUUUCAAGAAACAGUUCCGACAGGACAAAAUAUAAAAACAUAUAUGCUUUUCGCCGUAAACAAUAAACAGAAAAACAAAUGCUUCCGCAAAAAUAACCCGGUAGUUUUCAUUGAAAUUGUCAACAUUUUUAUCAUACAUCAUAAAAUAUAUUUUUGGUGUUCUUCACUUUUUAUUUACGGAUUUCUUUAGUAUGUUAUAGUAACAUUUUAAAAUUUGGACAGGACAGCAAUCUUAUUUAUAUUAGAACUUAAUUGGAAAAAGGAAAAUAUAAAAGUAUCAAAAUUAAAAAAAACGAGUAUUUAAUUAUCGUUGAUGAAAUAAAAACAUUUACGCAAUUUUACGCUUUAUUACACGCUCUGUUUUUAUUUGCAGCGACAUAGUUAAUAUUUUUAAAAUGAUUUAAGUAGAUUCAAGAUAAAAAGUUAUAUAGCUGAAAAAAUGGACGGUCAGUCUUACAAUCUGCAAUUAUUUUACGAUCUAUCUUGAACUCCUUGGACGCUAACUGUACAUUUAUACAGGUGAAUAGAGCGUGUAGCUGUAAAUUGAUGUAGUAAUAAAUAAUUAGAUCACCAGAUGUCACUCUUGGAGUAAUCCAGGAAGCUGGGAUUUAAGGACUUGCUUGCUGAACAAGGCAAAGGAAGAAGGGACUGAUUACUCUAUAAUCUAAUUGUCCGACCUGCAACCUGAGCUGGAAACUUUGAUGAUUGUGGAUAUAUCGAAUUCAAUUCUUGAUCUCCAUCUUCUGUUAAUCUGCAGAUUAAUUUAAUCUUUUGUACCCUGAAGGGAUAAUGCAAAUAAACAGAUUAAGUAUUGAA
rnacentral:lncRNA from 1 species